AGUCGAGGGGCAGCACUUCUUCGGAUGGUGGCGACCGGCGCACGGGUCCUUUACGCGUAUAGAACUUACCUUUUACAGAGGGAUAGCCUUCCUUUAUGAAGAUUAAUACCUCAUAGCAUUGAGAUUUGGCAUCAAAUUUUAAUUAAAGAUUUAUCGGUAAAAGAUGGCUAUGCGUCCUAUUAGCUAGAUGGUGAGGUAACGGCUCACCAUGGCAACGAUAGGUGGGGGUCCUGAGAGGGAGAUCCCCCACACUGGUACUGAGACACGGACCAGACUCCUACGGGAGGCAGCAGUGAGGAAUAUUGGGCAAUGGAGGCAACUCUGACCCAGCCAUGCCGCGUGCAGGAAUAAGGUCCUAUGGAUUGUAAACUGCUUUUAUACAGGAAGAAACACUCUUAUUUGUCCGAGCUUGACGGUACUGUAUGAAUAAGCACCGGCUAACUCCGUGCCAGCAGCCGCGGUAAUACGGAGGGUGCAAGCGUUAUCCGGAAUCAUUGGGUUUAAAGGGUCCGCAGGCGGUCAAUUAAGUCAGAGGUGAAAUCCCAUCGCUUAACGAUGGAACUGCCUUUGAUACUGGUUGACUUGAGUCAUAUGGAAGUAGAUAGAAUGUGUAGUGUACCGGUGAAAUGCAUAGAUAUUACCCCGAAUACCGAUUGCGAAGGCAGUCUACUACGUAUGUACUGACGCUCAUGGACAAAAACGUGGGGAGCGAACAGGAUUAAAUACCCUGGUAGUCCACGCCCUAAACCAAUGGAACUAAUUGUUGGGGAGUAAUCU
rnacentral:rRNA from 1 species